GAUGAACGCUGGCGGCGUGCCUAACACAUGCCAGUCGAACGGAAAGACGAGGAGCUCGUUCUUUUAAGGUUAGCGUCGGGCGGGUGAGUAACGCGUACAUCGCCAUCUUAUUUGUCUGGGAUAAUAUCGGGAAACCGGAGCCAAUACCACAUCAUAUAUUGAACCGCAGGGUGCAAUAGUUAAUGGCGGUUUUGCUGUUAGUAAUAGAUGAUUCCGGGCCGCAUUAGCUAGUUGGUAAGGUAACGGCUUACCAAGGCAACGAUGCGUAGCGGACCUGAGAGGGUGAUCGGCCACACUGGAACUGAGACACGGUCCAGACUCCUACGGGAGGCAGCAGUAGGGAAUAUUGCGCAAUGGGCGCAAGCCUGACCCAGCCACACCGCGUGGGUGAUGAAGGUCUUCGGAUUGUAAAGCUCUUUUAUUGGGGAAGAACAGCAGCGUAUGUAACUACGGCCGUCUUGACGGUACCUAAAGAAUAAGCAACGGCUAACUACGUG
rnacentral:rRNA from 1 species